rnacentral:tRNA from 1 species
GGCGACGUAGCCAAGUGGCUAAGGCAGCGGUCUGCAAAACCGCAAUUCGUGAGUUCGAAUCUCACCGUCGCCU